ACUUGCUUUCUUUGCUGGCGACCGGCGCACGGGUGAGUAACACGUAUCCAACCCGCCCUUUACUCGGGGAUAGCCUUUCGAAAGAAAGAUUAAUACCCGAUAGCAUAAUGAUUCCGCAUGGUUUCAUUAUUAAAGGAUUCCGGUAAAGGAUGGGGAUGCGUUCCAUUAGGUUGUUGGUGGGGUAACGGCCCACCAGCCUUCGAUGGAUAGGGGUUCUGAGAGGAAGGUCCCCCACAUUGGAACUGAGACACGGUCCAA
rnacentral:rRNA from 1 species